GCUGGCGGCGUGCCUAACACAUGCAAGUCGAACGAGAAAGUGGAGCAAUCCAUGAGUAAAGUGGCGACCGGGUGAGUAACACGUGACUAACCUACCUCCGAGUGGGGAAUAACUCCGGGAAACCGGGGCUAAUACCGCAUAACAUCGCAAGAUCAAAGCAGCAAUGCGCUUGGAGAGGGGGUCGCGGCUGAUUAGCUAGUUGGCGGGGUAACGGCCCACCAAGGCGAAGAUCGGUAUCCGGCCUGAGAGGGCGCACGGACACACUGGAACUGAAACACGGUCCAGACUCCUACGGGAGGCAGCAGUGGGGAAUUUUGCGCAAUGGGGGAAACCCUGACGCAGCAACGCCGCGUGGAGGAUGAAGCCCCUUGGGGCGUAAACUCCUUUCGACCAAGACGAUAAUGACGGUACUGGUGGAAGAAGCACCGGCUAACUCUGUGCCAGCAGCCGCGGUAAUACAGAGGGUGCGAGCGUUGUUCGGAAUUAUUGGGCGUAAAGGGCGCGUAGGCGGUGCCACAAGUCACUUGUGAAAUCCCCGGGCUUAACUC
rnacentral:rRNA from 1 species